GAUGAACGCUGGCGGCGUGCCUAAUACAUGCAAGUCGAGCGAACGGACGAGAAGCUUGCUUCUCUGAUGUUAGCGGCGGACGGGUGAGUAACACGUGGAUAACCUACCUAUAAGACUGGGAUAACUUCGGGAAACCGUAGCUAAUACCGGAUAAUAUUUUGAACCGCAUGGUUCAAAAGUGAAAGACGGUCUUGCUGUCACUUAUAGAUGGAUCCGCGCUGCAUUAGCUAGUUGGUAAGGUACCGGCUUACCAAGGCAACGAUGCAUAGCCGACCUGAGAGGGUGAUCGGCGACACUGGAACUGAGACACGGUCCAGACUCCUACGGGAGGCAGCAGUAGGGAAUCUGACGCAAUGGGCGAGAGCCUGACGGAGCAACGCCGCGUGAGUGAUGAAGGUCUUCGGAUCGUAAAACUCUGUUAUUAGGGAAGAACAGAUGUGUAAGUAACUGUGCACAUCUUGACGGUACCUAAUCAGAAAGCCACGGCUAACUACGUG
rnacentral:rRNA from 1 species